AGGGAAUUGAGGGCAGGUUGAAAACAUCUAACACUUUCUUCAUCUGUCUCGCACUCUCUCUCUCUCUCUUUGCUGUAUUCAGUCAGGACUGUAGAGUUUUUUAGAACACAGCACGUGAGAGAGGGGGGUGGUGGUGCUGGUGAUCAUUUUGCUUUAAUCCAAAGCAAUCCUAGAAGCAAACAUCCCUGUGUGUGUGGGGUUAGGGUCAGCUAAUGGACAGCUCCUGGUGCUGAAAUCCCAAAAGGAGUGGACAGCUUCGUCUGCAGAACACACAGCAGUGCCUGCUGAAUCGGAAUCAGAGUCAGAAUCCGAUUCAGAAUCACCUUAUACAAAGGACAGUAACCUUAAAGGGCAAGGACAUAGAACAUGCAGCAUGUAUGUGUAUCUAUAUAAUCAAUGAAAGUGAAUACUUUUAAAUCCAGGACAAUUAAACACAAUAAAUAUAAAGCCUACAUUCAACAUUUUAUGGUAAAUGUAGAUCAGUACUGUUUCUUUGUCAGUGAUGGCUUCCUAAGUUUAGAAACUGAAAAACAACCUGUUAAUGGUGUGGUACUGGCUCUGAUAAAGUGGUACCGGAAUUAGAAUAGAAAUAAAUCAUUGUCCGAUUCAUACACAGAUUGUGUAUCAGCUGUAUGGAAUAUGCAGAUAGCAUACUAUACUCACAAUAUGGCCAAACACCAUAGGUAAUCAAACCCAUAUGUGUGUUUUGAGAAUGCCAUUAUAAAUGUAAUCCCUCUUUGCUGUUAUAAUAACCUCCACUCUCUUGGGAAUGCUUUCCACUAGAUUUUGGACAUGGCUGAGGGGAUUUACUCAUUGAACCACAUGAGCAUUAUUGGGACAUAAGUGGGACAAGGAAGCCUGGCAAGGAUUCCAGCUCAUCUGAAAAGUGUUCAGUCUUCAAGGUUAACGUCAUUGUGAUGUUGGUAGAGGUUUGGGCACCUUAGUUCUAGUAAAGGUAAAUUCUUAUUGCUACCACAUACAGAGACAUUCUAGUCAAUUGUGUGCAAUUCUGUUUGAAACAGUUUGAGGAAUUCCCAAAUAAGGGUACGAUGAUCAGGUGUCUGAAAGCUUUUGGCCAUAUAGUGUACAUUCAUCUUGGCAAUUCAAUGUAUGUUUAUUGAUAAUGCAUACUAUUCUGUCUCAUCCUAAAGGCAGACAUCUGCUCUUGUGAGCUGUGAUCUGAAUGGACUAGAUGGGACUCUCCCCAGUGUGGAGAACACAGUGAACCACUGGGAAUCAGAAUCAUACAGUGAAUCAGAGAGAAAAUUAGGAUCAUACCUAAAAUGUAUUUUUGUAUGAUUUAAAGAAUCAGAAUCAUUCUAAAUCGGAUCAUUUUAAAUCAGUAACUAUCAACAGAAGAAUUAGUACUGACUGAAAUAUUUUAAAUAUAUAAAAAGCACAUUUUUUUUAUUAGAGCUAUUUAAUCAUACAAUAAUCAUAUUCAGAAUCAGAUUUUUUGUUAUUGAAAUCAGAAUCAGAAACGCAAACUGCAACAAAAACAGGUUUUGGCAACAUUGGCAACAAUUAAUAGACUUGUGUACAAUCCAAAAAGAACAGACCAUCAUGCGUUUGCACUGAAACACUGAAGUGGUCACACACAGAUUUAGCAUGAGACAGCCAGGAGCUAAACAAGGCAGUUUGGGAGACAAACAGUUUUAUUUAUUUUGCUCCAUCUCUCCUCUAUAUCUGUUCUGUUUGAGUAAACAGAUGAACCGAGCAACUGGACUGCCUGUCUUCCAUGUACUAUAUAUAAUGGCAGCUGUCUUAGAAAUGCCUCUGUAUUCACAUUAAUAGGCUUAAUCAGUGAAUUAGCAGCGAGGAAAUGUCACAGUGGCCAGCAUAAAAUAGAAAGGCUAAUUAAAGGAAGGUAGACUGGCUUCAAAAAAACAAAAACACCUGACACUGAGGACACUUGUGAAGGGUAUUCUACUUCAUAGUCCCAGUUCAAAAAGCCACACAUUGAUGUAAAUAACAGGGUUGACUACUUAUCAACCUAUAACUAUUAUCUGGAAAAGGAAAGGUCCUUAUAAACAAAUUCUCUCAAAGAUUGUACAUACAUGGACUUUUUUAUGUGUGUUGUGUUCAACGCACAGCCUUCUUGUCACAGCCUGGAAAACAGAUCGAUCGAUAGACACCACACUACACAAUUAUACACACACUAACACACACAGAGCAAUCACACCCCUCUCAAGGCUCUUUCACAGCCCCAGCAUCAAAGUCUGCCAUUUGGAGAAGCCUGCAAAUGUGUCUGGUGCUUUUGCUGAUCUCAGUCACUCUCGGUUUUAUUCUGUAAAGGCUGCACAGGUUGUGACAGCAACUGUAAAUACUGGUCUGAGAUCAGCCUGGCUCUUCUUUUCUCUGAGUCCCAAACCAGGAAAAGCAGACUGAUCCCAGAUCAGAAGCUGGAGGGAAAACAGCAUCAAUAGAGGCGACAGGCACAAAGAAGCAGAGUGGCUGGAAGCAGCUAGGGAAGGUGGGGAUUUGGGGAGGAGGAGGAGGAAAGGAGGGGGGUGUAGGGAGCCAUAAGCAGUAAUUAAAGGAGAUAGGCUGGGGAGCUUGAGAAGUGGAGAGACACAGACAUACACAGGCAUGGGGAAAGAGCUGAGGCAGUGGUGUAUGGAUGUGUGGAUGUGGUGGGGGCAGACAUGUCUUCCCUGGCAGAGAAGACAAAUGCAGAAUGAUAGGUUGGAGGAGCCUCAUAGGACCUGAAUUGCUUCCACAGAAGCAAUAGUGACAAGCAACAAAGCGACAGUGUGAUGCGUGAAGUGAGGUGAGAUUUGUUCAACUUUAUGUAGAAUAGGAAUGACAUGCAACAACAGCAAAUCCAGUUGCCUUAUAUAUCUAUCAUAUGACAUUUUUAACUUCUCUACUCACAACUUUAGUUCAUGUAGUAAACCCAGUAAUCAAACAUCCAUUUUACUGUUUUAAUACAAAAAAAAAGCUAAAUUUUCUCUUUACAGGUUUAUUUGGAAGAUACUAGAUGUUCUUGAACAUUUUUUGAUCUAUCACUGGGCUAUUUGUACAGAUACAUACACAACAUCCAUUCAAACACAAAUGAUAAAUGUACAUAAAACAUUGUAAAAAUAGCAAAAGGUGUCUCAUAUUUAUCUCCUCCUCAACAGCUUCUCUACAGGUCUUUGCCUCUCUCUCUCUCUCUCUCUCUCUCUCUCUCUCUCUCUCUCUCUCUCUCUCUCUCUCUCUCUCUCUCUCUCUCUCUCUCUCUCUCUCUCUCUCUCUCUCUCUCUCUCUCUCCUCACCUCUUUCUUCUCAUUGCCAACACUUUCCUUCUACGGCGCGUCAGAACGCGACCUUCCGCUCGAGCCUUGCCAAACUAGGAGCGCUCAUCAGCCAUGCAAAUGAGCGUGCAUCCAUUAGCACUGACAGAUGGCCUGCUGGAGCGCUGCUGAUGGAGGAGAGUAGAGGAGAGCAGAAUAGACGAGAGGGAGCGUUUCUCACCCGUGCGUGCUGAAGAGAGAAGCAGGGAUGGUGGUCAUGCUUGGCUCAGGCAAUGUGCUUCACGUCCAGCAGAGACACGUUUCCCUGCACAGCUGUCACUGGCUUUAGCAUUCUGAUGGCAUUUUAGUAGCAGGGGUUGCUCUCAGCACGCCUAGUCCAUAUGUGUGAGCACAUCCGUGUAUAUAUACAGAGCCGAUACCCAGCAUUGGUAUCGGGCCCAAUAGCAGCAAAAAUUGCUCCUAUAACAAUGACCCUGUAUCAAAUGGAAAAGAGUGGAGCUGGAUUUGGAAAAGCUUUGAGUGGAACAGGGAAUAUUUGCAUACUGUAUAAAGAGAUUGCAUUUUUUUUUUGCUCCAGCUGGUUAUUGUUUAUGUAGCUAUUGAUUUAUUUUUGAAGUGCAUAAUAUUUUUAAGUAAUUUCCAAUCUUAUCAGUAUUAUUCAUACUCAAGAUUUUAGUGUCAGGAUCAGAAAAUAAUGGCUUUAUCUCUAGUUUUUAACCACAUUAGGUUCUAGUCAGCAUAUCAGAAUAAAGUGUGCAAAACAUAUUUAUUUUCUCUAUAUAACUCUGUAUCAUGCAUAUUAUUGUUAGUGAUAAUGUUAGUAUUCUUGUGAGGAUCUUCCACUGACAUAAUUAUUAAUACAGCUAAUUAAAGUUAUGCCUAAACACAAAUCUAAUCCUUACCUUAACCUCAGUAACCAAAAAGAAAACCUUUUAGCUUUUUUCUUUUUUUUAAAUAAAUUUAAUAAUAAUUAUUUUCUGUAAAGAAGUACUUUUCCUCUUGGGAAGCAUC